AGAGUUUGAUCCUGGCUCAGAGUUUUUAACUCAAGUGGCGGACGGGUGAGUAACACGUAAGAAUUUGCCUUUAGGAGGGGGACAACAGCUGGAAACGGCUGCUAAUACCCCAUAUGCUUUCGAGUGAAAUGGAUUUUUCCGCCUAGAGAGAAGCUUGCGGCUGAUUAGCUUGUUGGUGAGGUAAUGGCUCACCAAGGCGACGAUCAGUAUCUGGUUUGAGAGGACGAUCAGACACACUGGAACUGAGACACGGUCCAGACUCCUACGGGAGGCAGCAGUGGGGAAUAUUGCACAAUGGAGGAAACUCUGAUGCAGCGAUGCCGCGUGAGUGAAGAAGGCCCUUGGGUUGUAAAGCUCUUUCGUCGGGGAAGAAAAUGACUGUACCCGAAUAAGAAGGUCCGGCUAACUUCGUGCCAGCAGCCGCGGUAAUACGAAGGGACCUAGCGUAGUUCGGAAUUACUGGGCUUAAAGAGUUCGUAGGUGGGUUAAAAAAAGUUGGGUUGUGAAAUCCCGAAGCUUAACUUCGGAACUGCAAUCAAAACUUUUUAGCUAGAGUAUGAUAGAGGAAAGCAGAAUUUCUAGUGUAGAGGUGAAAUUCGUAGAUAUUAGAAAGAAUACCAAUUGCGAAGGCAGCUUUCUGGAUCAUUACUGACGCUGAGGAACGAAAGCAUGGGUAGCGAAGAGGAUUAGAUACCCUCGUAGUCCAUGCCGUAAACGAUGUGUGUUAGACGUUGGAAAUUUAUUUUCAGUGUCGCAGCGAAAGCAUUAAACACACCGCCUGGGGAGUACGACCGCAAGGUUAAAACUCAAAUGAAUUGACGGGGACCCGCACAAGUAGUGGAGCAUGUGGUUUAAUUCGAAGAUACGCGCAGAACCUUACCAACACUUGACAUGUUCGUCGCGACUUUAAGAGAUUAAAGUUUUCGGUUCGGCCGGACGAAACACAGGUGCUGCAUGGCUGUCGUCAGCUCGUGUCGUGAGAUGUUGGGUUAAGUCCCGCAACGAGCGCAACCCCUUUCCUUAGUUGCCAGCACAUAAUGGUGGGGACUCUAAGGAUACUGCCUGGGAUAACCAGGAGGAAGGUGGGGAUGAUGUCAAGUCAGUAUGUCCCUUAUGCCCAGGGCUACACACGUGUUACAAUGGUCGGUACAAUGGGUUGCUACCCUGCAAAGGCAAGCUAAUCCCAAAAAACCGAUCCCAGUUCAGAUUAGAGUCUGCAACUCGACUCUAUGAAGUAGGAAUCUCUAGUAAUCGCGGAUCAGCACGCCGCGGUGAAUACGUUCCCGGGUCUUGUACACACCGCCCGUCAAGCCAUGGAAGUCGGCAGUACCCGAAGAAGGUGUGCCCGGUGACUGGGAUGAAGUCGUAACAAGGUAGCCGUA
rnacentral:rRNA from 1 species